rnacentral:rRNA from 1 species
AGAGUUUGAUCCUGGCUCAGGACGAACGCUGGCGGCGUGCCUAAUACAUGCAAGUAGAACGCUGAAGAGAGGAGCUUGCUCUUCUUGGAUGAGUUGCGUACGGGUGAGUAACGCGUAGGUAACCUGCCUUGUAGCGGGGGAUAACUAUUGGAAACGAUAGCUAAUACCGCAUAACAAUGGAUGACACAUGUCAUUUAUUUGAAAGGGGCAAUUGCUACACUACAAGAUGGACCUGCGUUGUAUUAGCUAGUAGGUGAGGUAAUGGCUCACCUAGGCGACGAUACAUAGCCGACCUGAGAGGGUGAUCGGCCACACUGGGACUGAGACACGGCCCAGACUCCUACGGGAGGCAGCAGUAGGGAAUCUUCGGCAAUGGGGGCAACCCUGACCGAGCAACGCCGCGUGAGUGAAGAAGGUUUUCGGAUCGAAAAGCUCUGUUGUAAGUCAAGAACGGGUGUGAGAGUGGAAAGUUCACACUGUGACGGUAGCUUAUCAGAAAGGGACGGCUAACUACGUGCCAGCAGCCGCGGUAAUACGUAGGUCCCGAGCGUUGUCCGGAUUUAUUGGGCGUAAAGCGAGCGCAGGCGGUUUGAUAAGUCUGAAGUUAAAGGCUGUGGCUCAACCAUAGUUCGCUUUGGAAACUGUCAAACUUGAGUGCAGAAGGGGAGAGUGGAAUUCCAUGUGUAGCGGUGAAAUGCGUAGAUAUAUGGAGGAACACCGGUGGCGAAAGCGGCUCUCUGGUCUGUAACUGACGCUGAGGCUCGAAAGCGUGGGGAGCGAACAGGAUUAGAUACCCUGGUAGUCCACGCCGUAAACGAUGAGUGCUAGGUGUUGGAUCCUUUCCGGGAUUCAGUGCCGCAGCUAACGCAUUAAGCACUCCGCCUGGGGAGUACGACCGCAAGGUUGAAACUCAAAGGAAUUGACGGGGGCCCGCACAAGCGGUGGAGCAUGUGGUUUAAUUCGAAGCAACGCGAAGAACCUUACCAGGUCUUGACAUCCCGAUGCUAUUUCUAGAGAUAGAAAGUUACUUCGGUACAUCGGUGACAGGUGGUGCAUGGUUGUCGUCAGCUCGUGUCGUGAGAUGUUGGGUUAAGUCCCGCAACGAGCGCAACCCCUAUUGUUAGUUGCCAUCAUUCAGUUGGGCACUCUAGCGAGACUGCCGGUAAUAAACCGGAGGAAGGUGGGGAUGACGUCAAAUCAUCAUGUCCCUUAUGACCUGGGCUACACACGUGCUACAAUGGUUGGUACAACGAGUUGCGAGUCGGUGACGGCGAGCUAAUCUCUUAAAGCCAAUCUCAGUUCGGAUUGUAGGCUGCAACUCGCCUACAUGAAGUCGGAAUCGCUAGUAAUCGCGGAUCAGCACGCCGCGGUGAAUACGUUCCCGGGCCUUGUACACACCGCCCGUCACACCACGAGAGUUUGUAACACCCGAAGUCGGUGAGGUAACCUUUUGGAGCCAGCCGCCUAAGGUGGGACAGAUGAUUGGGGUGAAGUCGUAACAAGGUA